CCAUCUCUCCCUUGCCUCUCAUCAACAUGGGAUGAAACUGAUGCCACCUGUUGCCACUAGACCUUGCCUCCUGGGGAGUGAUUUCAAUCCUGGUGAUUGGAAGUUUAUUUUAGUCUGAAAGAUCUGGAAAUAUAGAAAACAUCUCCAUCUUUCUGCUGUUGAGUUCCCAGUGCCCCUGCAAAAUGCCAGCCUGUGACUGUCAAUAUCUGUGACUCUAUCCCUCGACCCAUAAUUCCCAGCCUCCAUCCUAGCUUCUGGGAUAGAGUUCCAUGGAUAAUUCAGCAAUUGCAGGAAAAUUUGGGCCCCCAACAGUGAACAACAGAACUCAAAAGAUGCAAAUACGAGGAUAAUGGACCACUGGAGGCUGAUCCAACACAAAAUACACAUUACCCUGUGCUACGUUCAGGAAUAGGAGGGUUCCUGUCUAGUUGCAGAAAAAGGAUAAGAGGUCAUAUCAAAACAGCACAGUCAUCUGAAAAUGGAACUUAUGUCUACAAAAGUUACAGGAAACCACAUCAAGAAGACUUUGUUUUGGUGCCCCAAGAGGAUUAACCUACUAAAUCCUACUAGCAAGUUUCUGGAGAACUCUAUAAAUUGUAGCAAAUCAAUAACCUCUGAAGUGUAACCUCUACUUGGACUGCAGCCAUUGAGAAGAUGUUCUCUAUACCUUCAAGGACAGAGGUAUCUUGGUGUCAGGAGGCAAGUUACUCCUUCAAGCACUGAUGUCUAUGUUGCUUGUGAUUCUCUGUCCUACAGCUUUGAUUGUAUAAUAUAUGCUGGGUUAAUUUUAAGUGUGUGUGUGUGUGUGUGUGUGUGUGUGUGUGUGUGUGUCUUAAUGAUUUUUGUUCUUCUAUUCUCUUUGCAUUCCAAAAAAGCAGUGAUAUGUAAAAGCAAAUCGGUGUGACACAUGAAUCUUAUUUAUAAAGCACAAGGCCCUGCCCUCACCUUGGUGAACCAGAAAAGAAUUUUCAUCUUGAAGGUGUGUCAGGUCCUAAGAAUUCCAUAAGUAUGAGUUGUUCUGGACUAAGGCAAUAAUGUAGAUAUUGAAGCGCUCAAUAUGGUUUCUUGACAUGAAUUAAAGAUAUUAACGUGCAUGAGCUUUGUGAUGGCUAAAAAUGAUUUGCCCUUACAUCUGAGUUUGUGAUUAGGGAUGGUAGAUGUUAGUAGAGACCUACUUCUAUAUAGAUUAUGUAAGUUUAUUUGAACCAGUUUACUGUCCUGACAUUAUGAAGUUCAUUCUCCAGCCAGUAAGUAAAAACAAAACAAAACAAAACAAAACACAUAAAAUUGAGGUCAAAACAAAUUUAUGGCCACUUAUUUCUUUCCUAAAUACAGUUUUUCCCUCUUAAGACAUAAAUAUUAACAAGUGUGGGAAGAAAUUCAAUGAUCAUUAAUAUUUUCAUUUGAUGGAAUCAAAGAUCCAUCCUGUAGAUAACAGUUUCACCACGAAUUUUGCAUUAGGCAUAGUACCAAGAGCUUUACUGAAUUAACUCAUUUAAUCCUCACAAUAUGAAUUUAAAGCAUGCAUGGAACAAAUGUGGACAAGUCUUUAGGAAAACUUCUCCCUUACUCUGUAUCAGAGGAGCCAAACUUGGAGAAACCUGUAAUUGUUGCCUCUGGCUAGGAAUCUAUCUCCUGAUUUCUACUUUCAAACCUCCCAUUCAUCAAAUACUGCCUCCCCCAUGAUUUUCCUACAACAUGCAAUUUAAUUUUCCUCAUUUAAAAUACAUCCCCAAAGCCAUCUCGUUUUGUUCUCCUCUGUCAUUGAUCCUAUUCUGUCAGACAGUGUGGUUCUCUGAGGAUGUGUGAUGUGCUCUUAGCAAGGACUUUGGAAUCACGAGACAUUGGUUUGAUGUUUCUGAGGCUCACUGAGUAAGUGGUACAAAAAGCAGCAUUACUUACCUCUGGGGUCUUAUGAGACCUAAUCAGAAAGCCUAGAGAUAAUACUUUGUUGACUGGGAACAUGGUUUAAAAAAAAAAAACGUAUUACUGAACACAUUGAAGCAAGUGCUGAGCUGAGUUCAUUUUUUGUGUGUUCUAGGAAACCUUAAAAGAUGCCUGGGAACUAGCCGUCUUGCUCAAUGUAUGUCAAAUAAAUAUUUUUAGGAUAGAACCAGAUACCUUCUUAAUAGAUAAACAGCUCUGAAACAUCUCAAGAGCUUGUUCCCCAAGACUCAGAGGCAGGAUAGGCAGAUCCUUAGCAGGUGCUGGGUUCUUUGAAGCAAAUGAGGCACCACAUUUUCCUUUGAUGGCUGGGAGGACACAAGACAGAGGGAGAUGCUUUCUUCAGCAAAGGAGAAAGUACUCUUUUUAAGAGGCUUCCUUAAUGUGGCAAAAUCCUUCAUCAUGAGGCCAGAAGACUCAAUGUCAGGCAUGUGAGAGGCAUGCUCUAUAUGGGGUAGAAGGACAACAUUUGGCCAAAUUUGAUUCUCAAAUGCAGGCAUGUUUGGUGCCUCUGCACCUCUGGAAGGAAGGCUGUGUUUGUGCAGUGAUGGACUAAUUUCCAUGGCAACAGAGUGUCUGGUGUCAGAAGAAUAGAAAUGAAAGCUCCAUGUGCCAACACUAUAUUUAUGUGAUGUUUAUCUCAUUGAUUCUUACAACGCAAAGAGGGCUUGAUCUCUCAGCAAGCGUGCUUUUGUCCAAAUGAUGCCAAUGCAGAAAUCAUGCCAUUUCUAUCAAUAUUUCACAUCUAAAGGUUGGGUGUACUAUUUUUGUCUUGUGAAGUUUUGAUAGUCUCAAUGGAGCCUUUAGGCUCCUUUCUACAGGUUUUGUUAGAGCUUCAUGGGGUGGCACCAGGAAUGGUGAAGGAGGCAGCUAGGGUCUGGGUUUUGGUUUCCUAAGAAUGCAGCAAUGUCACUGAGCAGCCACUUUCUGCAGGAUGAGGAGAGUGAAAAAAUGCACUCAAAGGACUGAAUGGACCCUUAACUCCUAAGGGCCAACCAGACAGAAUGUGAAUGAGCAGAGAGGCUGGUCUGAUCUAUUGUAAGCACUCUGCUCCCUCUUGCUACAAGUGUCUUCUUGAAAUUGAUACCCUCCCCUCCACCCCUAAGAAAAGCUCACCUCUCAGCCUUGAGUCCCAAUCUUUAAUGCCUUCCAAGACUUUUCUCUCUCUCUCUUUCUCUUUUUUUUUCUUUUUUCUACUAUGAUCUGUGCCCUGAAUACCUCAAACCAAAGACUUCACUCUUGGCUUCUUUCCUGACCCCAGGCUUCUCCACAAACCACAGAGUCCUAUAGUGUUGCUUCAUAGGCCCUUACCCUUUCUAACUCAUUCCUGUCUUCCCAAACCAUAGGCCUGACACAUCAUGGGAAACCCAACCACCCCUACCUUGUUCUUUACCCCAGAUACUGGGUGUCAAGCAGUCUUUCCAAAAGGAAGGUACUUUUUAUCCUGUUGGUUGGCAAGCUGCCCACAGAGAGAAUGUAGAUGAGCACUUUUAAAAGUGAAUGAGGUCGGGCGUGGUGGCUCAUGACUGUAAUCCCAGCACUAUGGGAGGCCGAGGCAGGCAGAUCAUGAGGUCAGGAGUUCGAGACCAGCCUGGCCAGCAUGGUGAAACCCUAUCUCUACUAAAAAUACAAAAAAAUUAGCCAGGCAUGGUGCCAUGUGCCUGUAGUCCCCACUACUCAGUAGGCUGAGGCAGGAGAAUUGCUUGAACCUGGCAGGUGGAGUUUGCAGUGAGUCGAGAUCGCAACACUGCACUCCAGCCUGGGCAACAGAGCGAGACUCUCUCAAAAAAAAGUAAAUAAGUAGAGAUUAAAAUGUCCCCAAGUUACUGCAGUAAUGGUUGUGCAUAUCUGUGAACAAAUAAAACCCAUUCAAUUGUACACUUUAAGUGGGUGAAUUGAAUAUAUGGGAUGUGAAUUACAUCUCAAUAAAGCAAUUUUACAAUAGAUCUUAUGUAUGACAUGGUGACUAUAGCUAAUAACAAUGUAUUGCAUAUUUAAAAUUUGCUAAGGGACUGCAAAAAAUUAUAAGUAUGUGAGGUAAUGCAUGCUGUAUCUAGAUUGAUUUAGCCAUUCCACAGUGUAUAUAUAUUUUAAAACAUUAUGUGUAGACCAUAAAUAUAUGUACUUUCAACAAAGCUAAAUUAAAAAUAAAGCUUUUUUAAAAAAGUAGGUAGACAAAUACAGCCAUCACAUAAAACUCAUGCAAUAAAAAUUUUAAAAUGAAUGUAUUUGGAGAAAAUCUGAGUGGAUUUAGAGAAGAAUGCUGUAUACACCAUAGUAUGGUGUAAGUGGUUUGGUGGUAUGUUGUAGUAUAUAAUAUGUGGAUGUGGUAUGUGAAUGUGUUCAUGGAAGUUUAUAAAAAGUUGGUAUGAUGGAAAAAGCUUUGGUAUUUCUCCUGACAAAUCACUUCUGAGCUCCUUCUUGCUGUUUGCUGCUACUGCUUGAAUGUUCAAUAAACAUUUUGGAUCACUUUAUAUCUUUAUAUGAGCCAGGCACUCUUCAAAGCAGCAAGGACACAUCAGUGAGCAAGAUGGGCAGAGUCCCCGCUCUCAAGAAGUCCAUAUUCUACGUCGGGAGGCAGACAGAAGCCAAAUCAACAAAUGAAUAAACGGCAAUCCAAGCUGGACUUCAGGA
rnacentral:lncRNA from 10 species